UAAUAAACUAUAAUGACAAACUAUAUACAGAUUUCUCCUCUCUCAAUUCCUGACAGGAUUAAUAUGAGAGGGAGCUGUUUCUCCGUCUGUGCCCAAAGAUGGUUAGAAGGAACUGGCGGGAGCUGGACCACGUGACCAAAAACGGCGCGAAAAGCCGCAAGAUGGCCGCCACGUAUGCGCGGUCUGAAAAACGACAGCUAAAAGAUCUCUGAUCUGCGUUGCCGGGAGGAGCCCAAUACCCACAGUGGAACACCCACAGGGACACUACCCAAAGAAGAAAGUGCAACAAAAGAAAAAUAAAGUUGCCACAGCUGAACCCUGAAGCUAUCAAGAUUCUGUAGAGCAACUAAUCAAAUUCAAGAAAUAAAGGUGUGAUAAAUCAAUCUCUGAGAGUGCUACUGUUAGCACUGGUACUACACCAAGACAAGUAUAGCCGAUGUCAUUAGGAUAGCAGCCCCCAUCAAUCUUAGUGCACUCAAGAUGACUUGGUUUUUCUUAUUUCUGGACCUAUGUCACCAACUGUGCUGAAUUCACUCAAAAGGAAAAGACUUGUAAAAGAGUAGUGACUGCUGGAAGGAAGACAUAGAAAAAAAGAGGAGCAUCUGAGCUAGCAACACCAGUGUGAAAUUCAUGCCCUAAAGCCUCAUUUAGCUGACUGAAUACUGCAAAAGAGCUUUUAUUUACAUUCUUCCAAAUUUUCAAUUUUUCUCCUAUCUAGGGUUGGAUGGUAUGAAGCUUAUAAUGCUCGUGCAAGAUGAUGACCCCAUGAGAUCAUCCUUUCUACUUCUCUACCUCCUAUGGAGCUGAAUGGUG